CUGACGAGUCCCAAACAGGACGAAACAGCUGUC
rfam:Echinostoma caproni strain Egypt genome assembly, scaffold: ECPE_scaffold0000041